rnacentral:rRNA from 1 species
UGUAGUCAUAUGCUUGUCUCAAAGAUUAAGCCAUGCAUGUCUAAGUAUAAGCAAUUAUACCGUGAAACUGCGAAUGGCUCAUUAAAUCAGUUAUCGUUUAUUUGAUAGUACCUUACUACUUGGAUAACCGUGGUAAUUCUAGAGCUAAUACAUGCUGAAAACCCCAACUUCGGGAGGGGUGUAUUUAUUAGAUAAAAAACCAACGCCCUUCGGGGCUUCUUGGUGAUUCAUGAUAACUUCACGGAUCGCAUGGCCUUGCGCCGGCGACGGUUCAUUCAAAUUUCUGCCCUAUCAACUUUCGAUGGUAAGGUAUUGGCUUACCAUGGUUUCAACGGGUAACGGGGGAUUAGGGUUCGAUUCCGGAGAGGGAGCCUGAGAAACGGCUACCACAUCCAAGGAAGGCAGCAGGCGCGCAAAUUACCCAAUCCCGACACGGGGAGGUAGUGACAAUAAAUACUGAUACAGGGCUCUUUUGGGUCUUGUAAUUGGAAUGAGUACAAUUUAAACCUCUUAACGAGGAACAAUUGGAGGGCAAGUCUGGAAUCG